AGUGAACGCUGGCGGUAGGCCUAACACAUGCAAGUCGAACGGCAGCACAGGAUAGCUUGCUCUCUGGGUGGCGAGUGGCGGACGGGUGAGGAAUACAUCGGAAUCUACUCUGUCGUGGGGGAUAACGUAGGGAAACUUACGCUAAUACCGCAUACGACCUACGGGUGAAAGCAGGGGACCUUCGGGCCUUGCGCGAUUGAAUGAGCCGAUGUCGGAUUAGCUAGUUGGCGGGGUAAAGGCCCACCAAGGCGACGAUCCGUAGCUGGUCUGAGAGGAGGAUCAGCCACACUGGAACUGAGACACGGUCCAGACUCCUACGGGAGGCAGCAGUGGGGAAUAUUGGACAAUGGGCGCAGCCUGAUCCAGCCAUACCGCGUGGGUGAAGAAGGCCUUCGGGUUGUAAAGCCCUUUUGUUGGAAAGAAAUCCAGCUGGCUAAUACCCGGUUGGGAUGACGGCACCCAAAGAAUAAGCACCGGCUAACUUCGUGCCAGCAGCCGCCGUAA
rnacentral:rRNA from 1 species